AUGACCACCUUCGAGGAGGGCGAGCGCGAGAGCGAGUACGGCUACGUCCGCAAGGUCUCUGGGCCCGUGGUCGUGGCUGAUGGCAUGGGCGGUGCCGCCAUGUACGAGCUCGUCCGUGUCGGCCACGACAGCCUCAUCGGCGAAAUCAUCCGUCUCGAGGGCGAUUCAGCUACAAUUCAAGUUUACGAGGAAACAGCUGGGCUAACUGUCAACGAUCCCGUGUUGAGAACGAAAAAGCCUCUUUCAUGUGAGUUGGGACCUGGUAUUCUUGGAAACAUCUUUGAUGGAAUCCAGCGCCCUCUGAAAACUAUUGCUAUUAAGUCUGGAGAUGUCUACAUUCCACGUGGUGUUUCAGUCCCUGCUCUUGAUAAAGAUCAGCAGUGGGAGUUCCAGCCAAAUAAGCUAGGUGUUGGAGAUAAUAUCACAAAUGGAGAUCUAUACGCUACCGUAUUUGAGAACACAUUGAUGAAGCACCAUAUCGCGCUCCCUCCUGGUGCUAUGGGAAAGAUAAGUUACAUUGCCCCUGCGGGUCAGUACAGUCUGCAGGACACAGUGCUGGAAUUGGAGUUUCAGGGCAUCAAAAAGGAGUUCACUAUGCUCCACACAUGGCCUGUGCGGACACCACGGCCUGUUGCGUCAAAACUUGCUGCUGACACGCCUCUUCUAACAGGACAGCGUGUACUUGACGCACUGUUUCCCUCGGUGCUUGGAGGAACAUGUGCUAUUCCUGGAGCUUUCGGUUGUGGAAAAACUGUCAUUAGUCAGGCGCUCUCAAAGUAUUCCAAUUCCGACACUGUGGUUUAUGUGGGCUGUGGAGAAAGAGGAAAUGAGAUGGCUGAGGUCCUUAUGGACUUCCCGCAAUUGACAAUGACGUUGCCUGAUGGACGUGAAGAGUCAGUCAUGAAAAGAACAACGCUUGUGGCUAACACCUCCAACAUGCCUGUCGCCGCUCGUGAAGCCUCCAUUUAUACAGGAAUUACUAUUGCUGAAUACUUCCGUGACAUGGGCUACAAUGUUAGUAUGAUGGCUGAUUCCACGUCCAGGUGGGCCGAAGCAUUGCGUGAAAUUUCAGGACGUUUGGCUGAAAUGCCUGCGGAUAGUGGUUACCCCGCAUAUUUGGCUUCACGGUUGGCAUCCUUCUAUGAACGUGCUGGGAAGGUGCAAUGUCUUGGCAGUCCAGACCGGACAGGCAGUGUCACAAUUGUUGGCGCCGUCUCUCCUCCUGGAGGAGAUUUUUCAGAUCCUGUUACCUCUGCUACCCUCAGUAUUGUGCAGGUCUUCUGGGGACUGGAUAAGAAGCUGGCUCAAAGAAAGCAUUUCCCAUCUGUUAAUUGGCUCAUUUCUUACUCAAAAUACUCCACGGCUUUGGAAGGAUACUAUGAAAAGUUUGAUCCUGGCUUUAUUGACAUGAGAACAAAAGCUCGUGAAGUGUUGCAGAGAGAGGAUGACCUAAACGAAAUUGUCCAGCUUGUUGGUAAAGAUGCACUGGGAGAAUCUGACAAGAUUACUUUGGAGACAGCCAAGCUUCUGAGGGAAGAUUAUUUGGCACAGAAUGCUUUUACCCCAUAUGACAAGUAUUGUCCAUUCUACAAAUCUGUCUGGAUGAUGCGCAACAUUAUUCAUUUCAAUACAUUAGCGAAUCAGGCCGUGGAGCGAGCAGCCAAUGCUGAUGGACACAAGAUAACCUACGCCGUCGUAAAGAGUCGCAUGGGCGAUCUAUUUUACCGCCUUGUAUCCCAAAAGUUCGAAGACCCCGCAGAAGGCGAAGACGUCCUAAUCGCAAAAUUCCAGAAGUUGUACGACGACCUCACCACCGGGUUCCGCAACCUAGAAGACGAGGCUAGGUAA
rnacentral:rRNA from 1 species